GAAAGAUUCCGGGAAAUGGAAUUACUGGGUCAAAGGCUGGAGGUAUUUUUAAGACUCUUGAUACAUAUUAUCAAUGUUUUUUUCUGCAAAGGUUACGCCUAUUUAUACUCCUACUCACAGAGGGUAAGAGAGCUUAUGCAUGGCACCCUUGCCACACUGAGUAAUAAAAAAUAAAUAAAAAUCCUGUUACUAUAAAAGGGACACAUUUUAUCUCAUUUUAAUAUGGGUCACAAAAGAUGGCAAGGUUUAUAUUCUCCAACAUCAACAGGGAGAGCAUUGUUGGUGUGAAGAACAGCCUCAGCCAAGAGUCAAAGGUAGGAAUGCUUGGGAGCUGCCCCAGUGAGCUCCUAAUUGGGCGUCUAAACAAUCUUUUAGCUCAUACAAAGCUUAUGCCUGCAGAGUUUUUCCACCAAGUAAUCUGUGACAGCAGCUAAAGGAAAUGCCUAAUUAGGGUUUUAUAAAUGUGGAUCUAUGAUCAGGAAGAGACCUACAUUGACCCUCUGCUAGAACUGCAGGGACAAACUGUAAUUGAAAAAUGAUCAAGCCAGGAGGCAGCUAAAAUAAAUGUGUCAAUGCAUAGUUCAACCAAGAAAGAAGAAAAUUCAGCAAAGUGACCUUUCCUUGGGGGAGAGAAGAACUUCAAUUCCCGACUGUUCAUGAAUCACUGGUGUAUCCAGCCGCACCAAGAAUGUCCAAGCUCCAAGAAUGUCUGACACCAUCCCCUAGAAUGAUGCCUGAGGCCUUGCCUAGUCCGAAGACACAUGAAUCUCUGGACACCUGCAGAUGUACUCCCACGGCAGGCAGCUGCAGCAUAGCUGCAGCACACCUCAAUUUGGACUAGCCACAUUUCAAGUGCUUGACAGUCACAGGUGACUAAUGGCUCUCCUAUGGGUUAUAGCCCAGCUCUUGACUCUUUGAUCCACAAGGAUAAGAACCACAUCCACUUCCACAUCUCCAGGUAUGAGGCAGAUAAAUAGCAGAGAAUGAUUACACGUAACUCUUCUCACCACGGAUUCCGGCAUUUGUGGGCAGCUGCAGAAGAGUAGGUGGGAGGAUCUCCCAGAUUAUGAGGCCAGUUUUUCUGUGGCUCAGAGAGUGCCAGUGACUCGCUCAAGAUAAAACAGCUUGUUAGUGGCAGGGAUGGAGCCCAGAAAUCCUGUUUCCUGUCCUCAGGAGUGUGUGUUCGAAAGAAGUUCUUGGCAAAGACAUGUUCACAGAUAGUAUUUUCCAGUCUGCCAGUGCCAUUGGGGAUUGCACUGUAGCAAACUAUUUCUGUGAGUUUCUGCUGAGAUCGACAAAUGAAGAAAUAUAGUGAAGACUUGGUGGAUACCCAGUUCUGCCAAACUAUCUAAAUCUUCUCAACAAGACAAGAACAUAAUGGAAAACAACAUGGAGCUUUGGAGCAUGGUGCUUGGUCCAACACCUUUGCUUCCAGGUGAAGCGCUGUCAAGAGAAAGAGGAUUUCAUGAAUUUGCUUUACUACUUACAGAACCAAGCACAGAGGACUCAGACAAAAGGUUUCUUUUCCACUUCUCGUAGCAGGAAAUCAACAAUGUUUUAGAUCAAAGCUGUUCCAUUUUCCUGGAUCCUAGUGGGGAGCUAACAUGGCGCAGAGCCACAGCCAAUCCAAGGACAUGUGGACCUGCCCUCAGCGUUCUUCACUCCACACGACACAGCCGACCCAGACAUCAUGUGCAGGAGGUACUGGCCAGCAGCCAGGAGCCCUGUGGUCCCUAUGAGGAACCACCAAGGUUCCUGGCCUCGCACCACCAAGGGCAUAUGCACCACCGACUACUUUUCUAGUUUCUGUAAUAUGUAGUGAUGUAGGGCCAUCAAAGUGGACCUUUUCUUGGGCUGUUGUUAAUGUCAAAUUUAAUUUGGCC